rnacentral:rRNA from 1 species
CCAGACUCCUACGGGAGGCAGCAGUGGGGAAUAUUGCACAAUGGGGGGAACCCUGAUGCAGCGACGCCGCGUGGGUGAAGGAGCACCUCGGUGCGUAAAGCCCUAUCGGCAGGGAAGAAAAGCGAACAGGUUCGCCUGGACGGUACCUGACUAAGAAGCCCCGGCUAACUACGUGCCAGCAGCCGCGGUAAUACGUAGGGGGCAAGCGGUAUCCGGAUUUACUGGGUGUAAAGGGGGCGCAGACGGCGAUGCAAGCCAGGAGUGAAAGCCCGGGGCCCAACCCCGGGACUGCUCUUGGAACUGCGUGGCUGGAGUGCAGGAGGGGCAGGCGGAAUUCCUGGUGUAGCGGUGAAAUGCGUAGAUAUCAGGAGGAACACCGGUGGC